AACGCUGGCGGCGUGCCUAAUACAUGCAAGUCGAACGCACAGCGAAAGGUGCUUGCACCUUUCAAGUGAGUGGCGAACGGGUGAGUAACACGUGGACAACCUGCCUCAAGGCUGGGGAUAACAUUUGGAAACAGAUGCUAAUACCGAAUAAAACUUAGUGUCGCAUGACACAAAGUUAAAAGGCGCUUCGGCGUCACCUAGAGAUGGAUCCGCGGUGCAUUAGUUAGUUGGUGGGGUAAAGGCCUACCAAGACAAUGAUGCAUAGCCGAGUUGAGAGACUGAUCGGCCACAUUGGGACUGAGACACGGCCCAAACUCCUACGGGAGGCUGCAGUAGGGAAUCUUCCACAAUGGGCGAAAGCCUGAUGGAGCAACGCCGCGUGUGUGAUGAAGGCUUUCGGGUCGUAAAGCACUGUUGUAUGGGAAGAACAGCUAGAAUAGGAAAUGAUUUUAGUUUGACGGUACCAUACCAGAAAGGGACGGCUAAAUACGUGCCAGCAGCCGCGGUAAUACGUAUGUCCCGAGCGUUAUCCGGAUUUAUUGGGCGUAAAGCGAGCGCAGACGGUUUAUUAAGUCUGAUGUGAAAGCCCGGAGCUCAACUCCGGAAUGGCAUUGGAAACUGGUUAACUUGAGUGCAGUAGAGGUAAGUGGAACUCCAUGUGUAGCGGUGGAAUGCGUAGAUAUAUGGAAGAACACCAGUGGCGAAGGCGGCUUACUGGACUGCAACUGACGUUGAGGCUCGAAAGUGUGGGUAGCAAACAGGAUUAGAUACCCUGGUAGUCCACACCGUAAACGAUGAACACUAGGUGUUAGGAGGUUUCCGCCUCUUAGUGCCGAAGCUAACGCAUUAAGUGUUCCGCCUGGGGAGUACGACCGCAAGGUUGAAACUCAAAGGAAUUGACGGGGACCCGCACAAGCGGUGGAGCAUGUGGUUUAAUUCGAAGCAACGCGAAGAACCUUACCAGGUCUUGACAUCCUUUGAAGCUUUUAGAGAUAGAAGUGUUCUCUUCGGAGACAAAGUGACAGGUGGUGCAUGGUCGUCGUCAGCUCGUGUCGUGAGAUGUUGGGUUAAGUCCCGCAACGAGCGCAACCCUUAUUGUUAGUUGCCAGCAUUCAGAUGGGCACUCUAGCGAGACUGCCGGUGACAAACCGGAGGAAGGCGGGGACGACGUCAGAUCAUCAUGCCCCUUAUGACCUGGGCUACACACGUGCUACAAUGGCGUAUACAACGAGUUGCCAACCCGCGAGGGUGAGCUAAUCUCUUAAAGUACGUCUCAGUUCGGAUUGUAGUCUGCAACUCGACUACAUGAAGUCGGAAUCGCUAGUAAUCGCGGAUCAGCACGCCGCGGUGAAUACGUUCCCGGGUCUUGUACACACCGCCCGUCACACCAUGGGAGUUUGUAAUGCCCAAAGCCGGUGGCCUAACCUUUUAGGAAGGAGCCGUCUAAGGCAGGACAGAUGACUGGGGUG
rnacentral:rRNA from 1 species